GAUGGGAUCCCUGGUGAGUGACGGCCACUGCGCGGGCGACCAGAUCAGCAGGGCUAGAAGCGAGGCUUGCGGAGCAUGGAACCCGGCCCACGCCGGGGUCUGCGAUCCAGCCAGCCCGCGAAGGUGUCCAAGGUGGGAUGAGUGGAUCCCCUGGACCAGGCGGCUCGAGAGGAUGCGUGGCUCCGUGGGUGGAACGAGAAAGGAGCUGGGUCAGAGAGGAGACUCCCGGGCCUGGAACGCUGCGAGCAUCUAAAAGUAUGGUCGCGGGCACCUCCCCCCCCAGCUUUGUGGAAGGACCUGUUAUGUGUGCCCCUGUCCUGCUGGGGAGUGGAUGGUACCCAGGACCCAGCCAGAGACCAGCUGAAGACAUUCUCCUUGCAAGCUCUCACCCCAGGAGGUCCCGUCUCGGGUGGUGGACCUACCAUGGCAUUCCGGAGGACUGAGGGUAUGUCCAUGAUCCAGGCUCUGGCCAUGACUGUGGCUGAGAUUCCAGUGUUCCUGUACACAACUUUUGGUCAGUCCGCGUUCUCCCAGCUGCGGUUGACACCGGGCCUGAGGAAGGUUCUUUUUGCCACAGCCCUUGGGACUGUGGCCUUGGCCCUGGCUGCCCACCAGCUGAAAAGGCGCCGGCGGAAGAAGAAGCAGGUGGGCCCUGAGAUGGGAGGUGAGCAGCUGGGCACGGUGCCCAUGCCCAUCCUCAUGGCCCGCAAGGUCCCUUCGGUGAAGAAAGGCUGCUCCAGCAGGAGGGUUCAGAGCCCCAGCAGCAAGAGCAACGACACUCUUAGUGGCAUCUCCUCCAUCGAGCCCAGCAAGCACUCAGGCUCCUCCCACAGCCUGGCCUCGAUGGUAGUGGUCAAUUCAUCCAGCCCUACAGCUGCGUGCUCAGGUUCAUGGGAAGCCCGAGGGAUGGAGGAGUCUGUGCCCACCACUGAUGGCAGUGCCGAGAGCCUCUAUGUGCAAGGCAUGGAGCUGUUUGAGGAAGCCCUGCAGAAAUGGGAGCAGGCACUGAGUGUGGGCCAGAGAGGGGAUGGAGGCAGCACCCCCACACCAGGCGACAGCCUCCAGAACCCAGACACCGCAUCAGAAGCACUGUCAGAGAGUCCCAACGAAGGGAGUUUGCUGAGAAGCUGGAGUCCCUGCUGCACCGGGCCUACCACCUGCAGGAAGAGUUUGGCUCUACCUUCCCCUCUGACAGCAUGCUGUUGGAUCUUGAGAGGACCCUAAUGCUGCCACUGACUGAGGGCUCACUGCGACUUCGAGCUGACGAUGAGGACAGCCUGACCUCUGAAGACUCCUUUUUCUCAGCCACUGAGAUCUUUGAGUCCCUGCAGAUCGGCGAGUACCCGCUUCCUCUCUCCAGGCCUGCUGCUGCCUACGAGGAGGCUCUGCAGCUGGUGAAGGAAGGAAGAGUCCCUUGCCGAACACUCAGGACAGAGCUGCUGGGCUGCUACAGUGACCAGGACUUCCUAGCCAAGCUGCAUUGUGUACGGCAGGCCUUUGAGGGGCUUCUAGAAGAAAGAAGCAACCAGAUCUUCUUUGGGGAGGUCGGCCGGCAGAUGGUGACGGGCCUGAUGACCAAGGCUGAGAAGAGUCCCAAAGGCUUCCUGGAGAGCUAUGAGGAGAUGCUGAGCUACGCCCUGCGGCCUGAGACCUGGGCUACCACCCGGCUGGAGCUGGAGGGCAGAGGGGUGGCCUGCAUGAGCUUCUUCGACAUCGUGCUGGACUUCAUCCUCAUGGAUGCCUUUGAGGACCUAGAGAACCCUCCGUCUUCGGUGCUUGCUGUCCUGAGGAACCGCUGGCUGUCUGACAGCUUCAAAGAAACAGUGGGUCCUGUCCCUCCCGUCCCUUUCCUGGGACCUUGGGCACUGGUCCUCUUGUGUCCCUGCCCACUGAGAUGUGGGAUGUCAGACCCGGGGCUCUCUGCAGGCACUCGGGCGCUUCCUGCUGCCCCAGCUCCAGCAGUGUGCACAUCUCCCUCUGUGUUGUCCUCACAUGGGCAGAGCCCCCACUCUGGUCAGGCACUAAGUCAUUCAUUUUACUGCACCCCAUUAAGUUAAAAUAGAGAACGUCUACCCACCCACCCCCAACAAAAUGACAAGAAACUCCAAGGCCCCCAAUAAUAUGGUGGUGCUGGUGCCCACAGCUCUUCUCCAGCUAGGCCAUUCAUAGGUACUCAUGAUGGCUCCCAACCACCAAGUGAGGGAUGGGUGGGGUGCUGUGUCAUGGCCAUUUUACAGAAGAGGAAACAGGCUUGGAAACCUCCACAUCCAAAUGGAGUUCUAAAGCAGUAAAAGUCAGAGCCUGGAUUCAAGAAUAGGCCCUAGCCACCGCGUGCUGGUCUGUCCUGAAAGCCAAGAGGAGGCUCCUGAUGGUGCCUGAUGGCUUCAUCUCCCAUUUCUACUCCGUAUCGGAGCAUGUUAGCCCUGUGUUGGCCUUUGGCUUCCUCGGACCCAAGCCCCAGCUCUCGGAAGUCUGUGCUUUCUUCAAGCACCAGAUUGUACAAUACCUGAGGGACAUGUUCGACCUGGACAACGUGCGCUACACAUCUGUGCCAGCCCUAGCAGAAGACAUCCUACAGCUGUCCCGGCGGCGCAGCGAGAUUCUAUUGGGCUACCUGGGGGCACCUGUGGCUAGUAGCAUCGGGCUGAAUGGGCCACUGCCUCGAGAAAAUGGGCCCCUGGAAGAGCUGCAGUAACAGGGGAUGGGCUGGAGGGGAGAGGUGGCUGUUUGGGCCUCAGAUACAAGGUGAUAGGAGAGAGAAAGCUGCCACUCCCUUCCUUUGGGUUGGUAUCCAAGGGCCAUGGUGGCCAAGGGCCAUUGCCCCUAAGCUUGCUCCACUUCCUCACCUGGGAAUUCCCAACACCCAGGGGACAAAUUUCCAUGGAGAGGAACCACUAGAAGCACUGAUAGCAGCUGCCCUUGGGGUUCCCUGAGCAGCAGAGGCAGGCCAGAGUCAGCAGGGACUGGCCAGGGGCAGGUAGCAAGAGAGAAAGGUGUGGGAGCAAAUGGCUCUUGAGUAUGGACCACAGAACCCCAGUCCCCCCCUGCUGCUGAGGGAGGGCAAGGGAUAGUUGAGGGAUAGAACAUACAGGGCUAGGUGGUGACAGUCACAGGGUCCUGCAAUUAGCAGCCACCAAUAGCUACAUUAAGUCCCAGCACCUAGGCUUCUGGCCAGUAUGGAAAGCCAUGUCUGGGCCAUCCAGAGGUGGGCUUGCCCCAUGUGUGCUCACAUCUGAGCAGGUACUCACCCUUCACAAACCCUUGGCGCUGUUCUCCACAUUCCCACACCCUGCCAAAGAUUGUUUUUAUCCCCUCUGUCACCAAAGAUGGAGGAGGCAGGACUGGCCGCUUCCUGCUCUCUGGUGAGCCAGGAGCUCCUGGGCAGUGCUGGGCCCCAGUCAGAGCUCACAGUGGCCCAUCUACUGCUCCAAAAGUGAGCACGGAACCAUGGCAGGGUGGGCAUGGGCUGCACAGCGGGCAGCUCCCCCUUCCCCUUUCUGACAGGAAGCUGGACUCAGCACUUUGCCUUCAACUCCAUGCACACGUGCUUUGGGGCUGCCACCACCCACGUCCUGCAGACAGUUGGCAUUUGUCACGGCAGCUGCAGUAGUCCUGGCAGCCCUCCUUUUGCCUGAGCUGGGAAGUUUUUAUUUAUUGCCUUAAUACUUUAUUUGGCUGUUCCAUCCCUUCCAGGUUGUGACACCAGGAGAAAAGACUCCUGGUCUGGAGUUGAGCACUGGCUCCUGGAACCAAGUUCCUCUCCCUGGAAGGGAAAAGGGUUCCCCAGGGUCAGCAGGAUGCAGUAAAGAGAGGGCAGCCAUGGCUCUGGGUCCUCUCUGAGGCUUGUGCUCAGAAGGGAGCAGCCCUCAUGCACUGUCUUGACAUUCCAUUCAUUUGCACUUACCCUGAGCUGUGAAUGUGACCCUGGGCUAAGGCCUGCUCUGCUCUGCCCCUGACCCAUACAGUGUGGUAUUUUCAUUUUUGUCCUGUUCAUGUGUCUAUGCCCCACCCUCUAGCACUCAACCAGCAGUGGUAGAGUGUGUGUAAGGCCUGUGAGUCAGAUAAAGGACCGAAGCGACU